rnacentral:snRNA from 1 species
AUACUAACCUGACCGGAGAGAUACCAUGAUCACAAAGGUGGUUUUCCCAGGGCAAGGCUUACCCAGUGCACUCAGGAUGUGCAGACCCCUACGAUUUCCCCAAAUUUGGGGAAAUGGACUGCAUUAUUUUUGGUAGUGGGGACUACAUUCAUUCUCUCCU